UCAACAUUUCCUUCCCUUCUCUCUCACAACUCACCCCUCACAAAACUUCAUCAGACCUUCUCUCUCUAUCGGCGACUCAAGAAUAUCAUGCCAGAUCUCUCACCAGAUGCCGUUUCAUGACCAGAUCUAGCUGAUUUACCGGGUUGCUUUGGACUUUACCUCUGAUGGCGUUGUGUUCAAGUACGGCUCUAAGCCUAUUCAGUUAUUAGGUAUUUUGGAAAUCUGGAAAUUAGGUGAUCGAGAGUAAAUCUAUAUUUGAUCUUCCUAGCCUCCAUUGUUGAAAUCUAUUGGAUCUUGAGCUUUAAUGCCUUUUCAUGGUUUUAAAAGAUUAAGUAUUGUUGCACGAGAAUCAGCAAUAGAAUGCACCACCUGAACCAUGGGCAUUAAGAGAACGAUGAAUCUUGGCAUAUGUUGGGAAGCUUUAUUUACAGAAGCUGGACCUGCACUUGAAGUCUUAAGUGAUAUUCUUAAUGCCAUUGAUACCAGACUGGACGUUAGUUUCUGUACAAGAAACCCGUAAAACGCUACUAACUGAUGUCGAAUAACAGAAAACAAGGAUAGCUGGUUGAACAGGGUGAUGAUCGGCUGAAAGGAGGUAGGGUAAAUCUGGUUAGCUAGGCUGCACAAAUCAGAACUUUCUAUAGGGAUUGAUGAUGGGUUGUCUUAUAUGAGUUGUUUGAAGAAGAACUGAUCAGCCUGCAGCCCUACAUCAACUUCAGAAUGUGAUUCAACAUCAACAACAGAUGGUAUUUUGGCUCGCAAUAAAAAGAUGAACUUUAUGUCUUCUAGGUAUAUACACACAAAACCCUAAUCUUUUUUCAUACUUUGCAUACUGAUCUGUAUGUUUUUAUAGCAAGUUUUGCAUAAAGAAUCAUACACAGUUAGAUUUUAAGUUCAGGGACUAAGUUCUUAAUUCAAAUAGUAUGUGGCGAGACGAUGGUGACUGAUAGCGCCACGGUAAACCCAUCUCCACUGCUCGCAGCUGAUGUUAUGUGAGUUGGACACUGGCGCUGCUUCGUGUUUGAAAUCAAUGUAGGAUGUGUUGUUAAAUCUGUUUUUGGGUCUGGUGUUUGAGUCGAACAGACUCGAUCUAACUUUUCCUGAGCUUAAGAUUGAGCUGCAAAGUUCUUGAUAAAUCAUGAAUGGUGAGGUGACGAUGAUGGCAAGUGUGCAUAAAAUGAAAGGAUGGUGAUUGUGAGAACCGAUGGCGAAGGCAGGUAUAAACCGGAUUGGGACAAAAAAAAACUGGUUUUAACCUGUUUUUUUACAACCGAUUCGUGUUAUAAACUGGUUUCAAAGAUCGAAAAUACGAGCCGGUAUCCAAACCGUCGGGUUGAAACUGGUUUUUAUUUCCAAUCGGAUUGGGUUUUUUUUCCAAACCGUCGCAUAGCAAAAAUGGAGUUUGAGAAGAUUAACAAAGGCGGGGUUAUGGUAACUCAAGCAAUAGAUAAGGUACACAAAAUAUGUAUUGGUUCAUAAGGAUAUUUAUGGUAAUUUGACUUGCUGUGUGGUGGCUUUUUAUUGAAGACCUAUUCGUCACAUCGUAUUUUUAAUGGACAGUUAUUGGAUUCCAAGGUAUUUCACCAUGUACCUUUUAGAUACGUUAUGCUAGAAACUAAUGACAAGUAUAAAAAAAUUAUAUAAAUAUUAAAUACAUUGUACUUUUUGUACGAAAAGCGAUGCACUUUGCAUUCUGUUUGAAACUUUAUUGGCUUGGCACGUGUUGUUUUAUUUUAAUCAAUUGGAAGCUUGUGGUUGUACUUGAUUUGGUUGCAAUAUGUUUUUUCUUUUCCGUUUUAUUUCUAUUUUUUGUGAUAUUUUUAUUUAGAGGUUAGAAUGAUUGUAGCAUAUUGAUGAGAUUGUAUGUUUUAUUUCAUCUACUUUUGAUAUUUUUAUGUUUAAAGAAUCUUUUUUUUGGUGAUUAUUAGCACCAAGGAUGAGGGGCAGCAGCCGUUCACCUUCAAAAUUGGCCAAGGCCAAGUUAUUAAAGGUAAUUUGUUUCUGUUGGUAUUAUUAUUGGGUAAGUCACUUAAGCUAUAGUCCUCAAAUCUGAACGUGAUUGGGCAUCAUGUUAUUUCUAAUUCAAAUUUUUGUUUAGAACUGAGGAGUGUCUUGAACGAAGAAAGAUUGAUGAUUUUGAUGUGAAAUAAAAAAAGAUAAGGAGCUUUUUACAAACAUUUUAUGUUUGCAGUUGUAAGAAGUUGAUGAAUUUUCAGUCUGGUGAUUGUUUUUUGAUAUUUUCUUCCACUUUUUGAUGUGAUUUUAUAUUGGAUGAGUCUGUAGUCAUGUUUUAGUUACGUGAACCAGUAUAUGGAUUUUUGAGUUCAUGUGCAGUCUUUGUUUAAAAAGGCGCGCCUGAUGCACAAGGCGAUCAUGUACUUUUGGGCGGAUUCCUACAGCUGAUGCUUUGGCUAUUAGGAAUGUGAACGUUGGAAACGGAAGUUGCCCUCUAUGCAGGACAAUUCAGGAGACUGCGGCCCAUCUGUUCGCUACCUAUCUUGUUUUGUGGGCAGUGUGGUGGAUCAUUUGGGCUUGGGUUAAAAUCCCGCAUCCAGUUGCGGCUGAGACUCUAGACCAAGUCAUCCAGUUUGGGGCGAAUUUAGUCAUGCCGACUUUGAGGAAAAAGGUAAAAAAUGCGAUCUUUUUCAUGACUAUCUGGAAGAUUUGGAUACAUCGCAACGAGAAGAUUUUCAAAUGUAAAGCAGUGUCGGUAGAUAAUAUCACAAAGGAGAUCAAAGAAGAGAGCUUCUGGUGGAUGGCGAAACGAUCGAGAAUGGUUGGCAUCUCGAUGGAGAACCGGGGAGAUUUUGACGGAGGGUUGCAAUUUUAAUGUAUCUGGUAGUUUAGUAUAUGUUUUCUUCUAUGUUUGUUUUUCUUCUAUUUGGUUGCGGCUUUCACAGCUGCUUGCUGUGUUAGCUUGUUCAACUUGUAUUUGUAGUUUUGGUUUAUAAAAUUUUGAAAAUGAGGUUUGCAGCA